GCGUGAGCUUCCCACUGGCUCCGUCCAAAGCCAUCUUUGCAUUGUUCUGCCUUGCUUGCUCCGGCUCUCGGGGGGUUUUGUUUUUUCCUCUUCCCACCCACCCCCUUUUCUCUUCGCUUCUUCCCCCUCUUGCUCCCCAGGCGCGCGCUGGUGGACCUGUAAGUCGCCGGGGGCUUUAUUUUUGUAUUUUUAGCUCUAUUUUAUAUAGAUUAUAAAGAGAUAUAUCCCCGCACCCCGAAAUAUCCCCGCGCAACUCCCAAGCCAGCCAUGUCAGACGCCGCCGUGGAUACCAGCUCCGAGAUCACCACCAAGGACUUGAAAGAGAAGAAGGAAGUCGUGGAAGAGACAGAAAAUGGCAGAGAUGCCCCAGCUAAUGGAAACGCCGAAAACGAGGAAAACGGGGAGCAGGAAGCGGACAACGAGGUAGACGAGGAAGAAGAAGAAGUUGGCGAGGAUGAGGAGGACGAGGAAGAAGGCCUGGCACCUUUGCAAUUUUGCAGCUGGCUUCCCAAACAUUUCCCCCUUCUGUUGCUGAGGAGUCGGGGGUAAACUUCUCGAGCCUCAUUCACACACUCCCCAAAGGGGGGCCUAAUGUGUCGGAUGCCCCUGGGUGUGUGAGUGUAUAGGUGGACCAACCAGGUGAAGAAGAAGAUGGCGAUGAGGACGAUGAGGCCGAGGGCCCCCCAGGGAAGCGGGCAGCUGAGGACGACGAGG